UGGGGAAUUUUGGACAAUGGGGGCAACCCUGAUCCAGCCAUGCCGCGUGAGUGAAGAAGGCCUUCGGGUUGUAAAGCUCUUUCGGACGGAACGAAAUGGUCAGGGUGAAUAUCCCUGACUGAUGACGGUACUGUAAGAAGAAGCACCGGCUAACUACGUGCCAGCAGCCGCGGUAAUACGGAGGGCGCAAGCGUUGUUCGGAAUCACUGGGCAUAAAGAGCACGUAGGCGGUCCGCUAAGUCGAAUGUGAAAGCCCCCGGCUCAACCGGGGAACAGCAUCCGAUACUGGCGGGCUAGAGGAAGGCAGGGGUGAGUGGAACUCCAGGUGGAACGGUGAAAUGUGUAGAUAUCUGGAGGAACACCGGUGGCGAAAGCGGCUCACUGGGCCUUUCCUGACGCUGAGGUGCGAAAGCUAGGGUAGCAAACGGGNUUAGAUACCCGCGUAGUCCCUGAGCGGGCUGGCAAGGCGCAU
rnacentral:rRNA from 1 species